GGGAUAUAGGGGAUAUAAUUUAGAGGGAACCGCUGCAGCGUGAUCCGCUGGCGCUCGCGGUGAGGCGUCGAAGGUCAACCCCUAUCUUCCACCUCGGGGGGACUGCCUACCCGGUGGAUCGACGCAGCAGCUUUAUUGGUUCCCCGGAGACCUGCAAGUUGCAAGACGAGCUAGACCUAGCAACCGCUCCCUGCCGACCUUCGGCGUCUUGGAGUAAACAUUUCGGCGUCCAGGCAAUACCGAAGAUCUCCCAUCCGCUCUGUCGAUUUGCAAUGGAGCCCGGCAGCCCAGCCCCGAAGAAAUCACGGCUGGUGCACUCAGCGGACUGCGAAAUGGAGGAGGCGCAGGCGCCUUCCAGUUCCAAUGCAGCGGGGGGCGUGAACCAGAGCUUGCACUGGACCCAGUGGCAGAUCCUGGACUCCAUCCUCCCGACCGGCGGCUUCGCGCACUCGUACGGCCUCGAGGCCGCCAUGCAGUCCCGCGUGGUGAACGACCAGGAGGACCUGAGGUCGUUCGUCGUCCAGGUCCUCGACAGCGCCGGCAGCCUGCUGCUGCCGUUCGUGCACUGCGCAUGCGCAGGCAAGUCCCCCGGCGACGCAGCGGCGUGGGCCAAGCUGGACCGGUUGCUGGACGCCACGUUGACGAACGAGGUCGCCAGGAAGGCGUCCGCGGCUCAGGGCUCGGCUCUGCUGCGGGUGGCCGCGUCCGUCUUCGCCGAGGUUCCGGCGCUGCAGGAGCUCCGGCGGACGUUGCUGGGCUCCAAGAGCGUGUCGUUCCACCACGCGCCUGUGUUUGGGCUGGUGUGCGGCUUGGUUGGAUUCGACGGCGAGACGGCGCAGCGGGCGUACAUGUUCGUGACGAUGAGGGACGUGCUCUCUGCCGCGACGAGGCUCAAUCUGAUCGGCCCGCUGGCUGCUUCGGUGCUGCAGCACCAGCUUGCGCCGGAUGCCGAGAGGAUGGUGCGGAAAUGGAGGGACCGUGAUGUCUCUGAGGCGUCACAGACUGCCCCGCUGCUCGAUGCCGUGCAGGGCUGCCACGCUUACAUGUUCUCCAGGCUGUUUUGUUCGUGACAACAAGCCAUACACGAUACAUAUCCCUGGACAAAACUAGCAGCCUUCCAUGGCCAUGGCUGAUGGCUCCAAGUGAUUUCUGAUCACAUCGACAGGAGCCAACGACAGCUGUCUUCUCAUAAAAAAAAAGCACCAGGCAAUGAUAAAUCCUUCGUAUUUCCUCUAUUACAAAGAGACCCUUACAAUACAAAAGGACUCCCGGAGAGGUUCAUACUGUUCUUGAAUCAUACUAAACGAGUUUGCUUUUCCCAACACAUGUUAUGCGCUUAUGUUUUUCGAAAACAACAUGUGUGUGCGUGUGUGUGUGUUGCACGAUCUGUGUUCCAAGUAAGUAUCAAGUAACCACGAGUGGGAUCUUGUGGCUUAAUUCUAGCUUGCAUCCUACACUUGUUUUAACAAGAACCAGGUGGUAAAGCUUACAUCUGCAGCAAGAGAAAAAGCUUGCGGCUUUGUCGUACCAUCAUGUCAUCAUCCAACCGAAACACAGUGAUCAUAUGAACAAGGGAACACUCAUCAUUCCAAACUCACGAGUCACAGUACUGUUACCUGUAUUGUAUGGUCCACACGAGCAAGCAAGUACGAUUGAGAGAAGAAGAAGAAAAAAAACACGCCAUCAAUUAAAAGACUCCAAAGCGUGUGCAACAACACAUAGCGACGGGACGUGCCAUCCCUGACACCACGAGGGGGUGUCCUUUGAGUGACACUGACACAUGUGGUAUCACUGUCUUACAGUGGCUCAGUACAUCACGUCGCUGCGUUCUACUACCUCCUUUUCUCCUCGGCACGGUGACCCAGCACUCAUUAUGGAGUGGUUUGAUGGCAAUUGUUUGGUUCCCUGUACUAGAUUUUAGACUCUGCGUGCAGACGAAGACCUCCGAGGGCAGGCUCCACGCCUCCACCCAUACGCAAGACAUCGAGCGUUUACUCGCAUAAAGGCCCGGUGGAUACAUCUUAAGGUUGGAUCAAGCUUCGAGGAUAUAUGAACCAAACACACGGUUAGGAAUACCUCUUUUACUACUGUAAGAUCCUUAAAAAAACAACUGUAAAGUUUGAAUAUAUCUAUCAGUCGCUAUUACUAGUCACGAGAAAACAAUAUAGACUUUGGUCAACAAAUGAAUCUACAAGCUUGUCCGCAGCAGCAGAUCGUGUAAAACAGGAGCCUUGUAUCGUAGAUAUCCUCGCACCGUCACUAUGAGGUGGUUUGAUGGCAAGUGAAUAGGAGAUCUAGAGAUGUAAAAUCAUUUGUUGUUUCAUUUUGAAUAGUAAAAGAUUUAUUUUUA